rnacentral:rRNA from 1 species
ACGACGCUGGCGGCGUGCCUAAUACAUGCAAGUAGAAGCUGAAGAGAGGAGCUUGCUCUUCUUGGAUGAGUUGCGAACGGGUGAAUAACGCGUAGGUAACCUGCCUUGUAGCGGGGAUAACUAUUGAAACGAUAGCUAAUACCGCAUAACAAUGGAUGACACAUGUCAUUUAUUUGAAAGGGGCAAUUGCUCCACUACAAGAUGGACCUGCGUUGUAUUAGCUAGUAGGUGAGGUAAUGGCUCACCUAGGCGACGAUACAUAGCCGACCUGAGAGGGUGAUCGGCCACACUGGGACUGAGACACGGCCCAAACUCCUACGGGAGGCAGCAGUAGGGAAUCUUCGGCAAUGGGGGCAACCCUGACCGAGCAACGCCGCGUGAGUGAAGAAGGUUUUCGGAUCGUAAAGCUCUGUUGUAAGUCAAGAACGGGUGUGAGAGUGGAAAGUUCACACUGUGACGGUAGCUUACCAGAAAGGGACGGCUAACUACGUG